AAUAGAUACCCGGGUAGUCCACGCCGUAAACGAUGGAUACUAGCUGUUUGAGCGCAAGUUUGAGUGGCUAAGCGAAAGUGAUAAGUAUCCCACCUGGGGAGUACGGGCGCAAGCCUGAAACUCAAAGGAAUUGACGGGAGCCCGCACAAGCGGUGGAGCAUGUGGUUUAAUUCGAUGAUACGCGAGGAACCUUACCAGGGCUUAAAUGUAGAUUGACGUAUUUGGAAACAGAUAUUUCUUCGGACAAUUUACAAGGUGCUGCAUGGUUGUCGUCAGCUCGUGCCGUGAGGUGUCAGGUUAAGUCCUAUAACGAGCGCAACCCCUGUUGUUAGUUGCCAGCGAGUAAUGUCGGGAACUCUAGCAAGACUGCCAGUGUAAACUGUGAGGAAGGUGGGGAUGACGUCAAAUCAUCACGGCCCUUACGUCCUGGGCCACACACGUGCUACAAUGGCCGGUACAGAGAGCAGCCACUUAGCGAUAAGGAGCGAAUCUAUAAAGCCGGUCACAGUUCGGA
rnacentral:rRNA from 1 species